rnacentral:rRNA from 1 species
UACGGAGGGAGCUAGCGUUGUUCGGAAUUACUGGGCGUAAAGCGCACGUAGGCGGCUUUGUAAGUUAGAGGUGAAAGCCCGGGGCUCAACUCCGGAACUGCCUUUAAGACUGCAUCGCUUGAAUCCAGGAGAGGUGAGUGGAAUUCCGAGUGCAGAGGUGAAAUUCGUAGAUAUUCGGAAGAACACCAGUGGCGAAGGCGGCUCACUGGACUGGUAUUGACGCUGAGGUGCGAAAGCGUGGGGAGCAAACAGG